UGCAUAUUCAAAAAGCGGAGGAAAAGAAACUAACAAGGAUUCCCCUAGUAGCGGCGAGCGAAGCGGGAAGAGCUCAAAUUUAUAAUCUGGCACCUUCGGUGUCCGAGUUGUAAUCUCUAGAAAUGUUUUCCGCGUUGGACCGCACACAAGUCUGUUGGAAUACAGCGGCAUAGUGGUGAGACCCCCGUAUAUGGUGCGGACGCCCAGCGCUUUGUGAUACAUUUUCGAAGAGUCGAGUUGUUUGGGAAUGCAGCUCAAAUUGGGUGGUAAAUUCCAUCUAAAGCUAAAUAUUGGCGAGAGACCGAUAGCGAACAAGUACCGUGAGGGAAAGAUGAAAAGCACUUUGGAAAGAGAGUUAACAGUACGUGAAAUUGUUGGAAGGGAAACGCUUGAAGUCAGACUUGCUUGCCGAGCAAUCGGUUUGCAGGCCAGCAUCAGUUUUCCGGGAUGGAUAAUGGUAAAGAGAAGGUAGCAGUUUCGGCUGUGUUAUAGCUCUCUACUGGAUACAUCCUGGGGGACUGAGGAACGCAGUGUGCCUUUGGCGGGGGUUUCGACCUCUUCACACUUAGGAUGCUGGUGGAAUGGCUUUAAACGACCCGUCUUGAACC
rnacentral:rRNA from 1 species